rnacentral:rRNA from 1 species
CUGACGUUAGCGGCGGACGGGUGAGUAACACGUGGGUAACCUACCUAUAAGACUGGGAUAACUCCGGGAAACCGGGGCUAAUACCGGAUAACACAUGAAACCGCAUGGUUUCAUGAUGAAAGACGGUUUUGCUGUCACUUAUAGAUGGACCCGCGGCGUAUUAGCUAGUUGGUAAGGUAACGGCUUACCAAGGCAACGAUACGUAGCCGACCUGAGAGGGUGAUCGGCCACACUGGAACUGAGACACGGUCCAGACUCCUACGGGAGGCAGCAGUC